rnacentral:rRNA from 1 species
GAUGAACGCUAGCGGCAGGCUUAAUACAUGCAAGUCGUGGGGCAGCAUGAGUAGCAAUACUUGAUGGCGACCGGCAAACGGGUGCGGAACACGUACACAACCUUCCGAUAAGUGGGGAAUAGCCCAGAGAAAUUUGGAUUAAUACCCCGUAACAUAUAGAGUAGGCAUCUUCUUUAUAUUAUAGCUUCGGCGCUUAUUGAUGGGUGUGCGUCUGAUUAGGUAGUUGGCGGGGUAACGGCCCACCAAGCCUACGAUCAGUAGCUGAUGUGAGAGCAUGAUCAGCCACACGGGAACUGAGACACGGGCCCGACUCCUACGGGAGGCAGCAGUAAGGAAUAUUGGACAAUGGGCGAAAGCCUGAUCCAGCCAUGCCGCGUGAAGGAUUAAGGUCCUCUGGAUUGUAAACUUCUUUUAUUUGGGACGAAAAAAGGGAAUUCUUUCCCACUUGACGGUACCAAGUGAAUAAGCACCGGCUAACUCCGUGCCAGCAGCCGCGGUAAGAC